CAAGUUCAUAUGUCAAAAUCCUAAUGACCUGUGUGGCUGUACUUGGAAUUUGGAAGAAGUUAUGAUGAAAUGAAGUCAUGAGAGGAAGGCCUUGUGAGGACAGAAGAUAAUCAUCUACAAGUCAGGAAGAGAAUCCAAAAACUGAAUCAGCCAGACACUUGAUUUCUCUCCACUUUCCAAAACUAUGGGUGCUUCAUAUCUGAGAAAGCUCACUCACCACAAUGUCUACUGCUGCCUGCUUCCCAUGAUCCUCAAGGGGGUAGAGAUAUGCCAUCCAGCAUGUUGUCCUAUGGAUAUGGGGAUAUCUGCUCUUCCUCGGAAUCAGUUACUGCAGCUACUUGGAGUCAACCAUGGCCUGGAAGCAGAUGAUCUCUUAAUAUGUUGUAUCCUAACAAUACAUCACAACACCCAUGUCAUUCACCUUACUUCAUCUCAUCACUUUGGUGUUUUAUCUCACACCAUCACAA